rnacentral:rRNA from 1 species
UACGAAGGGGGCUAGCGUUGUCCGGAAUUACUGGGCGUAAAGAGCUCGUAGGUGGUUUGUCGCGUUGUUCGUGAAAACUCACAGCUCAACUGUGGGCGUGCGGGCGAUACGGGCAGACUGGAGUACUGCAGGGGAGACUGGAAUUCCUGGUGUAGCGGUGGAAUGCGCAGAUAUCAGGAGGAACACCGGUGGCGAAGGCGGGUCUCUGGGCAGUAACUGACGCUGGAGGAGCGAAAAGCGUGGGGAGCAAACAGG